UCCCUCUCAGGAUUGCAUCUGGAGAGUUUCCAGUACUCUUCCAAUCUCGGCUACAGGAGGGAGAGUCAAGUAGCGGAAUACCCAUUCCAUUCCUAGCUUGGACAGUGGCUAGAGAGUGGAAGGCAAUCUGCAACAAGU